rnacentral:rRNA from 1 species
UGGGGAAUUUUGCACAAUGGGGGAAACCCUGAUGCAGCGACGCCGCGUGAUUUAGAAGGCCUUCGGGUUGUAAAAAUCUUUUGUAUAGGAAGAAAAUGACAGUACUAUACGAAUAAGGACCGGCUAAUUACGUGCCAGCAGCCGCGGUAAUACGUAAGGUCCGAGCGUUGUCCGGAAUCAUUGGGCGUAAAGGGUACGUAGGCGGUUAGAUAAGUCUGAAGUUAAAGGCAGUGGCUCAACCAUUGUAGGCUUUGGAAACUGUUUAACUUGAGUGCAGAAGGGGAGAGUGGAAUUCCAUGUGUAGCGGUGAAAUGCGUAGAUAUAUGGAGGAACACCGGUGGCGAAAGCGGCUCUCUGGUCUGUAACUGACGCUGAGGCUCGAAAGCGUGGGGAGCGAACAGG